CACCGGCAGCUCUAGUGGUAGCAGUUUUUAUUGGGCCUAAAGCGUCCGUAGCCGGUUUAAUAAGUCUCUGGUGAAAUCCUGCAGCUUAACUGUGGGAAUUGCUGGAGAUACUAUAGACUUGAGAUCGGGAGAGGUUAGAGGUACUCCCAGGGUAGAGGUGAAAUUCUGUAAUCCUGGGAGGACCGCCUGUUGCGAAGGCGUCUGACUGGAACGAUUCUGACGGUGAGGGACGAAAGCUAGGGGCGCGAACCGGAUUAGAUACCCGGGUAGUCCUAGCUGUAAACGAUGCGGACUUGGUGUUGGGGUGGCUUUGAGCUGUCCCAGUGCCGAAGGGAAGCUGUUAAGUCCGCCGCCUGGGAAGUACGGUCGCAAGACUGAAACUUAAAGGAAUUGGCGGGGAGCACCACAACGCGUGGAGCCUGCGGUUU
rnacentral:rRNA from 1 species